rnacentral:rRNA from 9 species
GAGAGGAUGAUCCGCCACACUGGGACUGAGACACGGCCCAGACUCCUACGGGAGGCAGCAGUGGGGAAUUUUGGACAAUGGGCGUAAGCCUGAUCCAGCCAUGCCGCGUGUCUGAAGAAGGCCUUCGGGUUGUAAAGGACUUUUGUCCGGGAGCAAAUCCCAGUGGUUAAUACCUACUGGGGCUGAGAGUACCGGAAGAAUAAGCACCGGCUAACUACGUGCCAGCAGCCGCGGUAAUACGUAGGGUGCAAGCGUUAAUCGGAAUUACUGGGCGUAAAGCGUGCGCAGGCGGUUGUGCAAGUCUGAUGUGAAAGCCCCGGGCUUAACCUGGGAACGGCAUUGGAGACUGCACGA